rnacentral:lncRNA from 10 species
AGUACUAAAUCAGGAUCAGGACAACCAUUUGAACUGAGUAAACUAACAUAUCUACAUCCACAUCUGUGGGUCUCCUUUGCUUCUGGGCUACUCACUGGCAAAAGUCCUGAGCGGCUCUCACAAUAUCUGCUUUUCCAUCUUCCGGCAAUAGCACCUUCACUGCCAAAUGGCAAUUUAAAACUUGAUCAUCUUUGUCAUUACUAUUUGCAAACUCUGGUGAGCAUUUUGAACAAUCUAGGCCCAGAAGUUCUUGCUGUUGUUUUAAAAUUCCAUCCAUCAAUCUGGAAUUAUUUCUUUUGAAAAUACCUUGGUGGUCGUAGACGCUAAUGUAGGAGAUGCCCACGGCCAUACACCACACCACGAGGCUCUCGAUGUCCGAGAAGCUGGGUUCCUGCUCCACCUCGGUGAUCACCAGGCCCAUGUGCACAGGCAGCUUCUCCAGGGAAGGGCCGUCCGCGCGCCAGCGCACCUGGUGGUGGGCUGCGGGCAGGCACGACCCCCGGCGCGGGUGCGGGUGGUGAUGGCGGUUCCUGCAGACGCCUGGGACUUGCGGAGCGUGAAGCCGAGCGGCGCUAGGACCGCGGCAGAGGCGGCGCGCCGGCACAGUCGCCAGAUCCAGUUCCAAGUGCCGAACCGAACGCGGAGCCAGGAGAUGCAGUCUCACUCUGUGGCCCAGGCUGGAGUGCAGUGGCGUGAUCUUGGCUCACUGCAACCUCCAUCUCCUGAGUUCAAGCAAUUCUCCUGUCUCAGCCUCCUAAAUAGUUGGAAUUACAGGCAAGCACCACCACGCUCAGCUACAGGAAUUUAGCCAAUUCAGAGGAAAUCUUCCCCAUAAUUAUGGAACUUUCUUACAGAUUUUACCAAGUCUGGUCAACCCAAUAAGAAAAAGACUGAAAUAACAACAACAACUUCAACAAAUAAAAAAAAACAGUUAAGCUAAAUAAACAGAUGAUUGCAGAAUUUAUGUGAUUACUGGGUACUCUAAUGGUAAGGAGAAAUUAAGACCAGCUAGUUGUUAAUCUUAACUUUUAGUCAUUAAGGAGAAUUUCCAAGACAAAACUGCAAUCCAGCUGCUUACCUAGGAAUACGGCUUAGGCUGAAAACUUCUAUCGUCUUAGAAAUGGGAAUAAACCUCACACUCACCGUCCCUGUUGGAAGCAAGCUGAAACUCCAAAAA